GUCCACGCCGUAAACGUUGGGCACUAGGUGUGGGGAGGAAUCAACCCUUUCCGUGCCGUAGCUAACGCAUUAAGUGCCCCGCCUGGGGAGUACGGCCGCAAGGCUAAAACUCAAAGGAAUUGACGGGGGCCCGCACAAGCGGCGGAGCAUGUUGCUUAAUUCGAGGCAACGCGAAGAACCUUACCUGGGUUUGACAUGUACCGAAAAGCCAUAGAGAUAUGGUGUCCUUCGGGCGGUACGACAGGUGGUGCAUGGUUGUCGU
rnacentral:rRNA from 1 species